GUCCAACUAAACCCAGCUUACCUAAUAUAAAAAUGCAAAUGACUGCUAUUAAAAUUAUAUCUGAAAGUAUUACACUCUCUCCACCUCAUACCUUUGUAAAACAAUUGGAAAUUGAGAAUUUUCUCAUUUGUAAGUUACUAAUAACGACCAAUAAAGUUUUGGCCUCCUCAAUACUCUCCUAUUGCUUACAAAUGCUCAUGUUGUUAGGGAAAACUAUAUAUUGAGUAAGACCAAAAAUGCUGUAAUUCCAAAAGAAAUACAUCUCCUGCAUAUGGAAACGGUCAGUACAGAUGGUACUUAUUUUCAUUCCACAAAAUAUUUUAAGAGAUUUUUUUCUAUAAAAGAACAUAAAGUAAUUCCCAAGAUGUCUGUGAAGCUUCUCAGUCAUCCAGGUCAUCGUAGUCUAAGGAGCUUGGAAAGAAAAGCGUCUGGACUUCUUUGAGUUGCUUGAAGACGUUUCACCUCUCUUCCGAGAAGCUUCUUCAGUUCUAAGGUCAAAUGGUGGAAAGUCCCAGAUUUAAACCCAGUGGGAGUUUCCCCCCCAAAGAGGGACAAAGUAAUUCCCAAGUUUAAAACCUAAGUUUGUCACAAAUGCAGGAUACUGCAGGCACAAUGGUAAACCAAAAGCAAGCCUUUAAAUAUUAAAAUAACUUCCCAUAAAAUAAAUAAAUUCUUUAGACAAGAAUCCAAAAAAGCAAAAAAAAAAAAGGAACAAGCUGGGCUGCAAGAGAGGGAAAUGUGUGAUAUCUUGGCACAGGACACAGGGAGGAUUGAGCACACACGGAGGGCUGAUCAGGGAUUAAACAGAAAAUUAUUGAUAUAUGAAUGAUCAACAACAGGUGAAAACAAUCAGGGAAUCGGGUAAGGACAAACAGCAAGCAAAGUUAACUUUGAAAGUGAAACAGAAAAGAGACAGACAUGAAAACUAACACCAGACAAGUGAACACUGGUAAAUGGACUGGUUCUCAUAUCGUGCUUUUCUACCUGCGCACUCAAAGUGCUUUAUACAAAUUGCCUCAUUCUCCAAUUUACACAAGGAGAUUUUUUAAUGCUUCUCACAUAAGUGCUUUCUAUCUAACAUUGAGACACAUUCACACACAUUCAUACUGCAUCGGAGAGCAACUUGGGGUCAGUAUCUUGUCCAAGGAUAUUUAUCAUGCAGACUGGAACAGCCGGAGAUGAAACCCCCAACCUUCCCAAUCACUUGAUGACCUCUACCUCCUGAGCUAAACAUGGAAACGAGACAUGUUGGUUACGGCAUAUAGUUGUAAAAAGGGUUUCUGGCUACGUUGGAAGUUACCAUAUAGAUUUCUCUCGCGCUAGCUUGCAUGGUCUGGUUCUAUGCUCUCUAAGUGAACACAAUUAUCAUGGCCCUCCUCCAUAGGCACCUUUAUUCCACAACUUUAAACAGCUGUGCUCCCCUG
ensembl:lncRNA